CGUACCGGCGCCGGACGCGGGCGCGGUGCUUCUGCACUCAGGGUUCCGCGAGCGAGGGCGCUCCGUGCCGAGGGGAAGUCUGGGAGGGGCCCUUUUCCAGGCGGUCGCGGCUCCCCCUGGCGGCGGACCUGCGGCGCUGGACGAGCGCAGUCAGGCGUUCUCCGCGGGCAGCCGGCGGCGGGGCCUUGCCUCGGAGCGCGGGGUCCUCGGCGGCCUGGGCGGCUGCUGCCCCUGCUGCUGUCGUAGGCGAGGACGGCUGUUAGUGCUGCUGCUGUUGGUUCGUCGCGGCGGCGAAGGAGGAGGAGGAGCAGGGCGAGGCGACUGGGGAAGAAGGAGGCAGGCGCGGCGGCAGCGGCGGCGCCCCGGGCCGGCGGAGGCGAGGGGGCGGAAGAUGGCGGACGUGCUUAGCGUCCUGCGACAGUACAACAUCCAGAAGAAGGAGAUCGUGGUGAAGGGAGACGAGGUGAUCUUCGGGGAGUUCUCCUGGCCCAAGAACGUGAAGACCAACUAUGUGGUUUGGGGGACUGGAAAGGAAGGCCAACCCAGAGAGUACUACACAUUGGAUUCCAUUUUAUUUCUACUUAAUAAUGUUCACCUUUCUCAUCCAGUUUAUGUCCGACGUGCAGCUACUGAAAAUAUUCCUGUGGUUAGAAGACCUGAUCGGAAAGAUCUACUUGGAUAUCUCAAUGGUGAAGCGUCAACAUCGGCAAGUAUAGACAGAAGCGCUCCCUUAGAAAUAGGUCUUCAGCGAUCUACUCAAGUCAAACGAGCUGCGGAUGAAGUUUUAGCAGAAGCAAAGAAACCACGAAUUGAGGAUGAAGAGUGUGUGCGCCUUGAUAAAGAGAGAUUGGCUGCUCGUUUGGAGGGUCACAAAGAAGGGAUUGUACAGACUGAACAAAUCAGGUCUUUGUCUGAAGCUAUGUCAGUAGAAAAAAUUGCUGCAAUCAAAGCCAAAAUUAUGGCUAAGAAAAGAUCUACUAUCAAGACUGAUCUAGAUGAUGACAUAACUGCCCUUAAACAGAGGAGUUUUGUGGAUGCUGAGGUAGAUGUGACCCGAGAUAUUGUCAGCAGAGAGAGAGUAUGGAGGACACGAACAACUAUCUUACAAAGCACAGGAAAGAAUUUUUCCAAGAACAUUUUUGCAAUACUUCAAUCUGUAAAAGCCAGAGAAGAAGGGCGUGCACCUGAACAGCGACCAGCCCCAAAUACAGCACCUGUGGAUCCCACUUUGCGUACCAAACAGCCUAUCCCAGCUGCCUAUAACAGAUAUGAUCAGGAAAGAUUCAAAGGAAAAGAAGAAACGGAAGGCUUCAAAAUUGACACUAUGGGAACCUACCAUGGUAUGACACUGAAAUCUGUAACGGUCUUUUUCUUGAUGGAUGUUUCUUUUAGUGUUGUUCUUCUUGUCUUUCCUGCAUCUCAUGUUCCUCUGAGGGUGCAUCUGCCCGGAAGACUCAGACUCCUGCAGCCCAGCCCGUACCAAGACCAGUUUCUCAAGCAAGACCUCCCCCAAAUCAGAAGAAAGGAUCUCGAACACCCAUUAUCAUAAUUCCUGCAGCUACCACCUCUUUAAUAACCAUGCUUAAUGCAAAAGACCUUCUACAGGACCUGAAAUUUGUCCCAUCAGAUGAAAAGAAGAAACAAGGUUGUCAACGAGAAAAUGAAACUCUAAUACAAAGAAGAAAAGACCAGAUCCAACCAGGGGGCACUGCAAUUAGUGUCACAGUACCUUAUAGAGUAGUAGACCAGCCCCUUAAACUUAUGCCUCAAGACUGGGACCGCGUUGUAGCCGUUUUUGUGCAAGGUCCUGCAUGGCAGUUCAAAGGUUGGCCAUGGCUUUUGCCUGAUGGAUCACCAGUUGAUAUAUUUGCUAAAAUUAAAGCGUUCCAUCUGAAGUAUGAUGAAGUUCGUCUGGAUCCGAAUGUUCAGAAGUGGGAUGUAACAGUAUUAGAACUUAGCUAUCACAAACGUCAUUUGGAUAGACCAGUGUUCUUACGAUUUUGGGAAACAUUGGACAGGUACAUGGUAAAGCAUAAAUCCCACUUGCGAUUCUGAAUUAUUUGGCUCCUCUGUUUCUGGAAAUUGAGACUCAAGCUUUAUGAAUUUAUCAAGAACUUAAAGAUGAAGAAGGUCACAGAUUGAUCUUUUAUAUAACCUUAUUUGAUGCUCUGUGCUUCAAGGAGGUGAUGCCUGUCAUCCAUCUAAGCAAACUUUUUGGCUUACAAAUAUUUUUUUAAUAUUAGCCUUCUAGUCUGUAAUGGAAAUUGUAUAUUUUGAUAGAAGUUUUUUCUCCAUUGGUUAAAUUAGCAUUACUUAAAAUUUGUUUCUUUAGAAAAUAAAUGCAGGUUAUAAAUGUGUGUAUAUUUAGAGAUUAGAAGGCUCUCUGAGCCAUCUUGCUUCUGAUUUUUCAUUGCUCUAUAAUUCUUUUUACUGAAAAUACUGUGUUAUGAAUGGUAUUAAAUUUUAGCCUCUGGAACAUCCAAAACCAAGCAAAGGGUUGUGACCAUUUUGAAUGAAUCAAAAUGUCAACCUGUAUGUACACUAUAUCUACACUUAAAUCUUUAUUUAAAAAGAAUAAUGAAAAAUCAAGAACAACUCUUCAAUUUGAUUGAACUGUGCAGCCUUUUCAAGAUUUCCUUACUUACAAGUGAUUACAUUUAAUGAAUGUACAUUCUUCUCACUGACUUUGGUGAUUUUUGAAACUUAGAAUGAUGUGUUUCUAUCUGUGAUAUCUUUCCAUUUGAAAAAAAUUUCAAAACACAGAUUAAAACCGUAAUAGGCUGUAGUAUUUUUUAUUUUGGGAGCCACAGUAUGAUUUGGGGAAGGAAUAUGUAUCAGCCCUAUUGCGGUAUGACUUUAAGCUCCUUUUCUCUUUAGUCUAUCUUUGAUUCUAAUUUUUAUGGUAUAGGAUUUUGAGUCUUCUGUUUUAGGUUUAGGCUUGUCAGUCUUGGAGUUCUUAUCUUCCAUUAUCCCUAAAUAUUGAUAAACUCCCAGACACCAAAGAACACAUUUGCUUAAUUGAAAAGAAACAAGAGAAAAACACUGGUAUUUUUAUGUGUGUAUUAAAUAUGGUAUAAAAUAUAAAACCUAUAUUUUAACUUAGUAAAAUAUUUUACUAUUUCUCUACUUUAGACAAAAUGUUACAUCCAAGGUACAAGUGACCAUUUUCCUUGAAUCCUGAUUUCACUCUUUUUACUUAAAAGCAACUAGAAAGCUUUACUUUCCCAAAUUGUUUUUGCCAUCAGAAUUUUUGCUGAUCACAGUCUUAGGUCAUUUUUUUCUUCAUUUUUAUUCCCAGCAGUUCUCUCCGAGGUUAACAUAUUGUUGGUAAACAUUUAGCCCUUUCAUAGGUGUUAAGCUGACAUUAUCAAGCUUCUUAAUGAAAUUUAACACUGUCACAAAAAUGAGAAGAAAUUAUUUAUUUUUUAAGUAAUCGCAAAGUCCAUACCACUAGUAACUAGAAAAGAUAUUUAUUCAUAUGGUAUCUACAAGGCUGUUCAGAAGAGAACAGUUGGCAUUUUAAAUUACUAGAUUUUAGCAUACUUACAAGGUUUGAAUAGAUUCUACCCCUAUUUUCCUCCCUUUUUAGUGUCUUCUUUCCUUAAAGAUAAAAGAAAAUUCAAAUUUGUUCACAUUAGGCUUUCUUAGCAUAUAGAUCUGUUUCCGGAAUAAAUUACGUGUUGUGUAAACUUUCUUCAUGUUGAAAUAGUCAAGGACCAGAAUCUGUGAUGUUUGUAUGUAAGAUUACUUGUCAAGACUACUACAAGUCAAUAUGAACUACCUUCCCAUAAAGAUUUUUGGUAUUUGUACUUAUUAAUGAACUUUACUUAAUACAGAAUAUGGUUAAAAUUAGGAACAUCUACUUUGAAUGAGGUUUAUUUUUCUAUUUGGAAUUUGCCUUAUGUAUAUUCAAAGGCUUAUGGAAAAACUGUAAAGGAACAUUAGGAAAGGACAAAUACGCGAUGAUCAUCUGUCUUAAAAUCAGAUCUUUAAUAUAAGCACUGCGUUUUUUCUCUUUGACAAUUUAGUUUCUUAUUUACGUCCAUGGAAUUAAUUUCAUUCCAUUAUUUUUUAGCCAUUUAUUCUAAAAAACAAAAUUUUUCAGCUAAUCCCUAUUCAUUCUCCCAUGACAUGGUCCUAUAGCAGUACUUAACACAGUGCCUUGCACAUAGUAGGCAUUCAGCAAAUACUUAUAUGCAUGAAUGAUGUAUUUUCAGUGUAACAAAUUUAUUACAAAAAUGUAGUUUGACUCAGCUUGGUUUUGGAGUUUGAGAAUACAGAAUUACAGGGAAUGAGGAGAGGUAUAAGUAGAUACUUUAAUGGAAAUGAAGUAUAAAUUAGUAACUUACCCAUAAGUUUACUUCUAACUGGUGAUACCCAUGUAUGCCCAAUCUGUAAAGGAAAGUUCUAUUUCUACAUUUACAGGACAUUCUUCUCAGUCAGGGAACAGUAAGAAAUAUGUAGGUUUCAGUCAGUUGCUCUGAACCCUGACUGCAUGUUAGAAUCAUUUGGAGAGUUUUAAAAAACCCCCAUGCCUGAAUCUUCAUUCCCAUUUUUAUGUAAUUUCAGACGAGACCUGGUCAUCAGUAUUUUUUUUUAGAAGUUCUCCAGGUAAUUUGAGUGUGCAGGAAGGAUUCAGAAUCACUGGUUUAAUUUGUUACUGGAAACAAUACCAGUAUUAAAUGUGUUUCCUCCUCCUCCUUUUCCGUAUGUGUGUGUGGUUUUUGUUUUGUUGUUGUUGUUUCGUGGCCACCCUUUGCACUAGACCAUCCUUGUUAUUGGUGGUAUUGGCCUGUAUUCCCCUUGACAAAUGCAAUUUUUAAUUAUUUAUUAAUAUAGAAGGAGUAUUUUACUGUUUAAUAUUUAAAUAAUGUUUAAUGUAUUUCAUUAUUAACUAGUAUUACAGCUUGUUUUUUUCUCCAUGUGUCCAUAACCUUUACUAACUUUUUGUUUUUAGCAGCACAACAGUAAUCCAUAUAGAAACAACUAAUUCAUAAUGAGGAAAAUCUCCUAAUUUUUAAGGCAGAAAGAAAUGUUAAUUUUUGAUCUGCCAUGCAGAAUGAGACAAAAACAAUUUGCUUAUGAAAGGAAAGUGGCAUACUUUUAAAUUGGUCUGCACAGAAAAGUAAAAGUAAACUAUUCAUUUAAGUAAGAUUCAUUAUCUAAUAAAUAUUGAAGGGAAUAUUUUUCCUAAAUAAAAAUUUUUGUGACUGUAACAAAACUUAAAGUUAUUACAUUGUUCUUUUUUUUGUGGGGGGAAGAAUAUUUGUUGCACUAAAGUAUAUAAAGUUUUUUGAUAUUAGCAGUGUAUUUUAUAGCAUUACAAAUAAAACAGUUACAAAAGCUGGUCAAGUUAAUGGCCUAGGAAGUAGCUGUAAACUUUGUGUUUUGAAAUUGCUUAAGUGCAAAAUUAUGAGUAAGAUAGAGAAGUUUUUUUAAAUUUUUUAUUUUUAAUUUUUUUGGAAGUUUAUUAAAGCCCUUCACAUACACAUACUUUUUUAAAAAAAGAUCUUAAUAAAGAAAUUAUUGGUUUGUCUGGUUAAAGUCCAUAUAGAAUGCUGAGAAGUAAUUUAUAAAAUAAGAACUAUGGAAAUUUGUUCUCAACUGAAAAGUUGGCAGCUGCUGUUUUUUUGUGUGUGUUUUUUUUUUUUUAAGUACAAAAUGAAAAUUUAAUUACAUUAGCCUUAAUAUUAUUUAACUGAAUUUCUACUAUUUAUUCACUUGUGUUUGAGUUCACCCAGCUAUUCUAAUGACAGCGUAUUAGCUUUAGAAGUAAAAAGCGGAGAAAUGACUGAAGUUGACUUAAGAAUUCGAGUAGGAAUUUUGAAGUGCCAUGUCCUUUGUGUUCUGGCAUAUUGUUCCCACAUUUGGAAGUAUGUUGAUGCCAGCAUUGUUGAUAUCUGUUGGGAUAAUAACUAACGAAAAAUUGAAAAUGUAUAAUAGAUGUAUAAAGAUAAACAUUUAGUAAGUACAUAAUAGAUAAUACUUGCAGAAUUUUUAUGUGUUUUGGGUUUCUGUGUAUUAUUUUAGGCAGUCUUUAUAAAGACAUCUUGGAAGUUAUAAAUAUGUGCCAUUUACUGAAAAGCAUAAGCAUUUUUAUAUGAGUAAAGCUAAUAAAAUAAAACUACUUUUAUUGCCAAAAUUCA